GUGGGGAAUCUUAGACAAUGGGCGCAAGCCUGAUCUAGCCAUGCCGCGUUAGCGAUGAAGGCCUUAGGGUUGUAAAGCUCUUUCAGCUGGGAAGAUAAUGACGGUACCAGCAGAAGAAGCCCCGGCUAACUCCGUGCCAGCAGCCGCGGUAAUACGGAGGGGGCUAGCGUUGUUCGGAAUUACUGGGCGUAAAGCGCACGUAGGCGGAUCAGAAAGUCAGAGGUGAAAUCCCAGGGCUCAACCUUGGAACUGGCUUUGAAACUACUGAUCUUGAGGUCGAGAGAGGUGAGUGGAAUUCCGAGUGUAGAGGUGAAAUUCGUAGAUAUUCGGAGGAACACCAGUGGCGAAGGCGGCUCACUGGCUCGAUACUGACGCUGAGGUGCGAAAGCGUGGGGAGCAAACAGGAUUAGAAACCCUUGUAGUCC
rnacentral:rRNA from 1 species